rnacentral:rRNA from 1 species
CUGGCUCAGAACGAACGCUGGCGGCAGGCUUAACACAUGCAAGUCGAGCGCCCCGCAAGGGGAGCGGCAGACGGGUGAGUAACGCGUGGGAAUCUACCCUUGACUACGGAAUAACGCAGGGAAACUUGUGCUAAUACCGUAUGUGUCCUUCGGGAGAAAGAUUUAUCGGUCAAGGAUGAGCCCGCGUUGGAUUAGCUAGUUGGUGGGGUAAAGGCCUACCAAGGCGACGAUCCAUAGCUGGUCUGAGAGGAUGAUCAGCCACAUUGGGACUGAGACACGGCCCAAACUCCUACGGGAGGCAGCAGUGGGGAAUAUUGGACAAUGGGCGCAAGCCUGAUCCAGCCAUGCCGCGUGAGUGAUGAAGGCCCUAGGGUUGUAAAGCUCUUUUCACCGGAGAAGAUAAUGAC